rnacentral:rRNA from 1 species
UACAGAGGUCCCAAGCGUUGUUCGGAUUCAUUGGGCGUAAAGGGUGCGUAGGUGGCGCGCUAAGUCGGGUGUGAAAUUUCGGAGCUUAACUCCGAAACUGCAUUCGAUACUGCCGUGCUUGAGGACUGGAGAGGAGACUGGAAUUUACGGUGUAGCGGUGAAAUGCGUAGAUAUCGUAAGGAAGACCAGUGGCGAAGGCGGGUCUCUGGACAGUUCCUGACGCUGAGGCACGAAGGUCAGGGGAGCAAACGGG